rnacentral:rRNA from 1 species
AUUCCAGCUCUGAUAGUAUAUAUUAAAGUUGUUGCAGUUAAAAAGCUCGUAGUUGAAACUUGGGUGCGUAGGGGCGGUCUCUUUUAGAGUACUACCCUGAAACAUCUUUCUUUGGUGUAAACUUUCUAUUUAUUUAGGAAGUGUAAACCAAACAUUUACUUUGAAAAAAUUAGAGUGUUCAAAGCAGGCCUUUGCUCGAAUAUAUUAGCAUGGAAUAAUAGAAUAGGACGUAUGGUUCUAUUUUGUUGGUUUCUAGGACCGUCGUAAUGAUUAAUAGGGACGGUCGGGGGCAUCAGUAUUCAGUUGUCAGAGGUGAAAUUCUUGGAUUUACUGAAGACUAACUACUGCGAAAGCAUUUGCCAAGGACGUUUUCAUUAAUCAAGAACGAAAGUUAGGGGAUCGAAGACGAUCAGAUACCGUCGUAGUCUUAACCGUAAACUAUGCCGACUAGGGAUCGGAGGGCGUUAUAAUAACCUCUCCGGCACCUUACGAGAAAUCAAAGUUUUUGGGUUCUGGGGGGAGUAUGGUUGCAAGGCUGAAACUUAAAGGAAUUGACGGAAGGGCACCACCAGGAGUGGAGCCUGCGGCUUAAUUUGACUCAACACGGGGAAACUCACCAGGUCCAGACACAAUAAGGAUUGACAGAUUGAGAGCUCUUUCAUGAUUUUGUGGGUGGUGGUGCAUGGCCGUUCUUAGUUGGUGGAGUGAUUUGUCUGCUUAAUUGCGAUAACGAACGAGACCUUAACCUGCUAAAUAGCUGUAACAAUAGAUUAUUGUUUUGACAGCUUCUUAGAGGGACUAUCGAUUUUCAAGUCGAUGGAAGUUUGAGGCAAUAACA